rnacentral:pre_miRNA from 1 species
CUUGGCACUGGGAGAAUUCACAGGCGCUAUUUGCUAUCAUUCUGUGGAUCUUUUCGUGCCAUCGUU